GCAAAUAAACCGUUAUCAAUUAUAACCAGGAUCUGUUCAUCGUCUUACAGCUCAUUAUUAGAGGUUUAUGCGAAGAACGAAGUCUGUUAUGUAUUUGAACUACACCUAUAAUGAUGCUAUGAUGCAAUUAGAUUUUCCUGUAGCUGGAAGUGCUAGGUCAUUUCUAGGGAGAUUUGCUGCAAUAUUCAAUGCCUGGAGACAAGACCAAAAUUUCCGAACAAAUUGUUAAUUUCAUGUCACAUAUUUUCUAAAACCCUGAAAUAUUGCAAUACUUGCUGGAAGAAUAAUUCGAAGAAUGGAAACUGAAGCAAAAAAUAUUGCUGAAUCGUAAAAUGGCGUAGAAUUCUGCUGGUUUGUCCAUGUGCCUCUGUCACAGCGGUGUAGUGAACACACUUUGGAACUGUUCGUUCAGUACUUCACUUAUCUCCAUGGAGUUUCAUGUCAGGGAGCCAUCUUCUUGGAAGAGGGGGUCCUAUCUUGUGGCACAUUGAGGAAGCUAACAUCAUUGCAGCAGCAUUCGCAGCAGCAGCAGCAGCAACAGUAGCAUCAACAAGAGCAAAAGCAACAACAGCUACAGCACCAAAAA
rnacentral:lncRNA from 1 species